AUGAUUCGAGUCAGAAGUAGCUGGUUAAAGAUCUCAUGUUUAUUACAAAUCAAUGGGAAUCCGAAUGAUUUUCUUCUUCAUCCUCACCACGAUACUGGUCACGGCACCAAACCAAAUCAAGAAAGCAGACAAAAUUCUCUAGGAAAAUAGAAACAAAGAGAAAACUGAAAAUUUAUCUGCUUUGUCACCGGCGAAUCCUGGAUAAACAGAGGACGGCCGGAGCUUAAAAAGCAGACGGGGAGAGCUAGGAAAGUGCUCUCCCCUUUGGUUCGAUCUCGCCUAAGGAUAGAUUCCUCGCCGCAGAUUAGCAGCGAACAAUUGCAAUUUUAG
rnacentral:rRNA from 1 species